GGGGAAUUUUCCGCAAUUGGGCGCGAGCCUGACGGAGCAACGCCGCGUGUGGGAAGAAGGCUCUUGGGCUGUCAACCACUUUUCUCAGGGAAGAAGUCCUGACGGUACCUGAGGAAUCAGUCUCCGCUAACUCCGUGCCAGUAGUCGCUGUAAUACGGAGGAGGCAAGCGUUAUCCGAUAUUAUUGGGCGUAAAGCGUCCGUAGGGGGCACUUCAAGUCUGCUGUCAAAUGGUCGGAGCUUAACUCAAGCUUCGGCAGUGGAAACUGGAGUGCUAGAGGUCGACAGGGGUACAGGGAAUUCCCCCUGUAGCGGUGAAAUGCGUAGAGAUUGGGAAGAACACCGGUGCCGAAAGCGCUCUACUGGGUCGCACGUGACCCUCAGGGACGAAAGAUAAGGUAGCGAAAGGGACUAGAUACCCCUGUAGUCUUAGCCUGUACACGAUGGAUACUAGGCGUGGUUUGUAUCGACCCAAGCCGUGCCGAACGCUGACGCGUUAAGUAUCCCGCAUGGGGAGUACGCACGCAAGUGUGAAACGCAAAGGAAUUGACGGGGGCCAGCACAAGCGGUGGAGGAUGUGGUUUAAUUCGAUGCGACGCGAAGAACCUGACCAGGGCUUGACAUCCCGCGAAUCUUGCUGAAAGGUGAGAGUGCAUUCGGGAGCGCGGAGACAGGUGGUGCAUGGCUGUCGUCAGCUCGUGUCGUGAGAUGUUGGGUUAAGUCCCAGCGACGAGCCCAACCCUAGUCCUUAGUUGCCAGCAGUAAGUUGGGCAAUCUAGGGAGACUGCCGGUGACAAACCGGAGGAAGAUGAGGAUGACGUCAAGUCAGCACUGCCCCUUAUGCUAUGGGCGACACACGUCUUACAAUGGUCGGGACAAAGGGGAGCAAGCUCGCGAGAGUAAGCGUAUCCCAGCUACUCCGGCUCUCAGUUCAGAUUGCAGGAUGCAAAUCGCAUGCAUGAAGGAGGAAUCGCUAGUAAUCACAGGUCAGCAUACUGCGGUGUAUUCGUUCCCGGG
rnacentral:rRNA from 1 species